AUUUCAUCAGCAAUGUACACUAAAAUUGGAGCCAUAGAGAGAAGAUUAAUGUGGUCUCUGCUCAAAGAUGAAUGUCACAGGUGUGGUGGCGCACACCUGC
rnacentral:snRNA from 1 species